CAUCAUUCAUUAAUAAAAAUAUAUAAAAAGAAAAGAUGACAUUUUGCUAAGUACUCACUGAUCCGACGCGUAGUCUGAAAGAGACGAUGACGUCCUCUGCAACAGACGAUAACCCAAGAUCCGUGAAAAGAGUAGCUGUUGUUGGUGCCGGGGUAAGUGGGCUUGCUGCAGCUUACAAAUUGAAAUCACAUGGUCUGGAUGUCACUGUAUUUGAAGCUGAAGGAAGAGCUGGAGGGAGGUUGAGAAGUGUUUCUCGGGAUGGUCUAAUUUGGGAUGAGGGAGCUAAUACAAUG